UACGUAGGGGGCGAGCGUUGUCCGGAUUUAUUGGGCGUAAAGAGCGUGUAGGCGGCCAGGUAGUCUGCUGUGAAAACUCGAGGCUCAACCUCGAGACGUCGGCGGAAACCAUCUGGCUAGAGUCCGGAAGAGGAGAGUGGAAUUCCUGGUGUAGCGGUGAAAUGCGCAGAUAUCAGGAAGAACACCCGUGCGAAGGCGGCUCUCUGGGACGGUACUGACGCUGAGACGCGAAAGCCAGGGGAGCAAACAGG
rnacentral:rRNA from 1 species